rnacentral:rRNA from 1 species
CCUACGGGAGGCAGCAGUGAGGAAUAUUGGUCAAUGGACGAGAGUCUGAACCAGCCAAGUAGCGUGAAGGAUGACUGCCCUAUGGGUUGUAAACUUCUUUUAUAAAGGAAUAAAACGAGGCACGUGUGCCUUUUUGCAUGUACUUUAUGAAUAAGGAUCGGCUAACUCCGUGCCAGAAGCCGCGGUAAUACGGAGGAUGCGAGCGUUUCCGGAUUUAUGGGGUUUAAAGGGUGCGUAGGCGGGUUAUCAAGUCAGCGGUAAAAUCGUGGAGCUAAACUCCAACCAGCCGUUGAAACUGAUGAUCUUGAGUGGGCGAGAAGUAUGCGGAAUGCGUGGUGUAGCGGUGAAAUGCAUAGAUAUCACACAGAACACCGAUUGCGAAGGCAUCUCACGAAUCCGCGAUUGACGCUGAUGCACGAAAGCGUGGGUAUCAAACAGGAUUAGAUACCCCAGUAGUC